rnacentral:rRNA from 1 species
AUUGAACGCUGGCGGCGUGCCUAAUACAUGCAAGUCGAACGGGGAGUAUUAAUUUCGAUUUUUUACUCCUAGUGGCGAACGGGUGAGUAACGCGUUGGUGACCUGCCCCGAAGACGGGGGACAACAGCUCGAAAGGGCUGCUAAUACCCCAUGUGGUCGUACAGGUUAGAGGCUGAACGACUAAAGGAGCAAUCCACUUCGGGAGGGGCCUGCGUCCCAUCAGCUAGUUGGUAAGGUAACGGCCUACCAAGGCGAAGACGGGUAGGGGGCCUGAGAGGGUGGCCCCCCACACUGGCACUGAAACACGGGCCAGACACCUACGGGUGGCAGCAGUAGGGAAUAUUGCACAAUGGGCGAAAGCCUGAUGCAGCAACGCCGCGUGCGCGAAGAAGGCCUUCGGGUUGUAAAGCGCUUUUCUGGAGGAAGAGGAAGGACGGUACUCCAGGAAUAAGGAUCGGCUAACUACGUG